UACGUAGGGUGCAAGCGUUGUCCGGAAUUAUUGGGCGUAAAGAGCUCGUAGGCGGUCUGUCACGUCGGCUGUGAAAACCUGGGGCUCAACUCCGGGCCUGCAGCCGAUACGGGCAGACUAGAGUUCGGCAGGGGAGACUGGAAUUCCUGGUGUAGCGGUGAAAUGCGCAGAUAUCAGGAGGAACACCAAUAGCGAAGGCAGCUCGCUGGGACGUACUGACACUGAGGCGCGAAAGCGUGGGGAGCGAACAGG
rnacentral:rRNA from 1 species